rnacentral:lncRNA from 1 species
AUGGCUCGUUUCCUACGAGUGGGUGAAGACUGUCCUCCUUUCAUGGACGGGCAGGGCAGCGCAGCACUCCCCCGUGCCAGUGACCUCUCCCACAGGGACCUGCCUGCCCCAGGAACACGUAAGGAAACCAUGAUCAUUCCGUCUUCACAGGAUGGCAGCUGUGCAGCAGAGUUCUGCAGAGUCCUGUGCAUUGUGAAAACGUAUACUGAAGACACCUCAUUAGCAAAUGUAGUUCAUCAAUACAGUGCGGGUAAGUGUUCACUCACUAUUUCAGGCGAGAGCUUGGUGAUCCCACUGCUUCCUGGAUCAUCACAGCGGCUGAGAUGCUCAGGUAAAAGCCUGUGCUAUCCUGGAAGGAAAAGCCAGUCGUUACUCACUGAGGUUUCUAAUGUAAUCAUUUUAUACUUCUUUACUGUUUAG